UACGUAGGGGGCAAGCGUUGUCCGGAAUCAUUGGGCGUAAAGAGCGCGUAGGCGGCCCAGUAAGUCCGUUCUGAAAGCCCGGGGCUCAACCCCGGGAGGCGGAUGGAUACUGUCAGGCUAGAGUACGGAAGAGGCGAGUGGAAUUCCCGGUGUAGCGGUGAAAUGCGCAGAUAUCGGGAGGAACACCAAUGGCGAAGGCAGCUCGCUGGGACGUUACUGACGCUGAGACGCGAAAGCGUGGGGAGCAAACAGG
rnacentral:rRNA from 1 species